rnacentral:rRNA from 1 species
CAGUAGCCGCGGGAAUACGUAGGUGGCAAGCGUUGUCCGGAAUUAUUGGGCGUAAAGGGCUCGCAGGCGGCUUCUUAAGUCUGAUGUGAAAGCCCCCGGCUCAACCGGGGAGGGUCAUUGGAAACUGGGAAACUUGAGUGCAGAAGAGGAGAGUGGAAUUCCACGUGUAGCGGUGAAAUGCGUAGAGAUGUGGAGGAACACCAGUGGCGAAGGCGACUCUCUGGUCUGUAACUGACGCUGAGGAGCGAAAGCGUGGGGAGCGAACAGGAUUAGAUACCCCUGUAGUCCCUGUCUCUUAUAC